AACGAACGCUGGCGGCAGGCUUAACACAUGCAAGUCGAACGCCCCGCAAGGGGAGUGGCAGACGGGUGAGUAACGCGUGGGAACAUACCCUUUCCUGCGGAAUAGCUCCGGGAAACUGGAAUUAAUACCGCAUACGCCCUACGGGGGAAAGAUUUAUCGGGGAAGGAUUGGCCCGCGUUGGAUUAGCUAGUUGGUGGGGUAAAGGCCUACCAAGGCGACGAUCCAUAGCUGGUCUGAGAGGAUGAUCAGCCACAUUGGGACUGAGACACGGCCCAAACUCCUACGGGAGGCAGCAGUGGGUAAUAUUGGACAAUGGGCGCAAGCCUGAUCCAGCCAUGCCGCGUGAGUGAUGAAGGCCUUAGGGUUGUAAAGCUCUUUCACCGAUGAAGAUAAUGACGGUAGUCGGAGAAGAAGCCCCGGCUAACUUCGUGCCAGCCGCCGCUGUAAAAC
rnacentral:rRNA from 1 species